rnacentral:rRNA from 1 species
CGGUGGAAUGCGUAGAUAUAUGGAAGAACACCAGUGGCGAAGGCGGCUGUCUAGUCUGUAACUGACGCUGAGGCUCGAAAGCAUGGGUAGCGAACAGGAUUAGAUACCCUGGUAGUCCAUGCCGUAAACGAUGAGUGUUAAGUGUUGGAGGGUUUCCCCCUUCAGUGCUGCAGCUAACGCAUUAAGCACUCCGCCUGAGGAGUACGACCGCAAGGUUGAAACUCAAAGGAAUUGACGGGGGCCCGCACAAGCGGUGGAGCAUGUGGUUUAAUUCGAAGCUACGCGAAGAACCUUACCAGGUCUUGACAUCUUCUGCCAAUCUUAGAGAUAAGACGUUCCCUUCGGGGACAGAAUGACAGGUGGUGCAUGGUUGUCGUCAGCUCGUGUCGUGAGAUGUUGGGUUAAGUCCCGCAACGAGCGCAACCCUUAUUAUCAGUUGCCAGCAUUCAGUUGGGCACUCUGGUGAGACUGCCGGUGACAAACCGGAGGAAGGUGGGGAUGACGUCAAAUCAUCAUGCCCCUUAUGACCUGGGCUACACACGUGCUACAAUGGACGGUACAACGAGUCGCGAAGUCGUGAGGCUAAGCUAAUCUCUUAAAGCCGUUCUCAGUUCGGAUUGUAGGCUGCAACUCGCCUACAUGAAGUUGGAAUCGCUAGUAAUCGCGGAUCAGCAUGCCGCGGUGAAUACGUUCCCGGGCCUUGUACACACCGCCCGUCACACCAUGAGAGUUUGUAACACCCAAAGCCGGUGAGAUAACCUUCGGGAGUCAGCCGUCUAAGGUGGGACAGAUGAUUAGGGUGAAGUCG